rnacentral:rRNA from 1 species
UACGGGGGGGGCAAGCGUUGUUCGGAAUUACUGGGCGUAAAGGGCUCGUAGGCGGCCAACUAAGUCAGACGUGAAAUCCCUCGGCUUAACCGGGGAACUGCGUCUGAUACUGGAUGGCUGGAGUUUGGGAGAGGGAUGCGGAAUUCCAGGUGUAGCGGUGAAAUGCGUAGAUAUCUGGAGGAACACCGGUGGCGAAGGCGGCAUCCUGGACCAAUACUGACGCUGAGGAGCGAAAGUCAGGGGAGCAAACGGG